rnacentral:rRNA from 1 species
CUUUUUGAAAAUAAUUUAAAGUCUAAUCUGCCCACUGAUUUUAUAUUAAAGGGCUGCAGUAUAUUGACUGUACAAAGGUAGCAUAAUCAUUAGUCUUUUAAUUGGAGACUUGUAUGAAAGAUUGGAUGAAAUAUAGACUGUCUCUUAUUUAAUUAUAGAAAUUAAUUUUUUAGUUAAAAAGCUAAAAUAUUUUUAAAAGACGAGAAGACCCUAUAGAGUUUUAUAUUUAUAAAUUUUAAAUAUUUAUAUAAAAUUUUAAUAUAAAAAAUUUAUAAAUAUUAUGUUGGGGUGAUAAAAAAAUUAAAAAAACUUUUUUAUAAUUAAACAAAAAUAAAUGAUUAAAUGAUCCAUAAUUUAUGAUUAAAAGAAAAAAUUACCUUAGGGAUAACAGCGUAAUAUUUUUUUUUAGUACAAAUAAAAAAAAAAGUUUGCGACCUCGAUGUUGGAUUAAGAUAAAAUUUAAAUGCAAAAGUUUAAAAUUUUGAUCUGUUCGAUCAUUAAAAUCUUACGUGAUCUGAGUUCA